CAAGAGGGGUUUUUGGAGGUUUUCUCGGUUCUCUCCAAGCGAAAAACCCAUCGCUGCGAUUCGAUCACAGCACCAAUGGUCGAAGCUUUCUGUCUCUACUAAAUCCAAACCUCAAACCGCUCUGCCCUUUUUCCUCCAUCCAAAUCGUUCUCGAUGAGGUCGACCCUCUUGUCGAGAGCCUUCGUCGGGCUUCGAUCGAUCCGUUCUACGGCACUCGUUACGCAGGAUUCAAGAAGAAACUGCUGUUCUUUUACUCAGAGGAGAGCAUCUUAUGGUUGUAUGAAUUUGCCUUCUUUGGCUGCCCCAAAUUUUGGAUUUAUUCGCCGUACUGCAACUACUUCACCAAGUGCAAGAAUCAUUACAUCCGCAAUUCAUUCUAUAGCUCAUAAAGAACCUGUUGUUUCUGCUGAAUGGCUUCAUGCUAAUCUUAGAGAGCCUGAUGUUAAGGUUUUAGAUGCUUCAUGGUACAUGCCAGAUGAGCAAAGGAAUCCGUUCCAAGAAUAUCAGGUAGCUCACAUUCCUGGUGCCUUAUUCUUUGAUGUUGAUGGAAUAUCAGAUCGAACGUCUAAGUUGCCACACAUGUUGCCAUCAGAAGAAGCUUUUGCUGCUGCUGUUUCUGCUCUUGGAAUCUAUAACAAAGAUGGGGUAAUUGUUUAUGAUGGAAAGGGUAUAUUCAGUGCAGCUCGUGUAUGGUGGAUGUUCCGAGUCUUUGGACAUGAUAAGGUUUGGGUGUUGGAUGGUGGUUUGCCAGAGUGGCGUGCUUCUGGAUUUGAUGUUGAAUCUAGUGCAUCUGGAGAUGCCAUAUUGAAAGCAAGUGCAGCUAGGGAAGCAGUUGAAAAGGUUUAUCAUGGACAGCUGGUUGGCCCUACCACAUUUGAAGCAAAGUUCCAGCCUCAUCUUGUGUGGAUGCUUGAACAGGUGAAACAAAACAUUAAUGAUCAAACACAUCAACAUAUAGAUGCUCGAUCAAAGCCUAGGUUUGAUGGCAUAGCUCUAGAGCCACGGAAGGGAAUUAGAAGUGGUCAUGUGCCUGGCAGCAAGUGCAUUCCUUUUGGUCAGGUAUCUCUUUAGAUCGCCCCGUGGUCACUUCUUGUGGUACUGGUGUAACUGCUUGCAUACUUGCCUUGGGUCUUUAUCGGAUUGGAAAGACGGAUGUUCCCAUCUAUGAUGGAUCUUGGACUGAAUGGGGAUCCGUAUCAGACACGCCCGUCACCACUGCUUGAAUAGUUUGUUGUGCCUCAUGUUUUUCUUCUCAUUUUUUUGUAGUUCAAACCAAGAGAACAUGAACAAGAUGGAUAUACUUGCGCCAAACCAAUGCUUCUCCUGUCUUUGUACACGGUUUACUUUAGACAAAGUGAUUUAUCCAAAACCAUCAAAUCAAAAAUUAGAUUUUGGAAGGUAAUACUGGUGUUCACUUCAGAAUGGUGAUAGAACUGAUGUCAGCAUAUGGUGGAACUAACUGAACUAGGCAAUGGUCUACUCUUUUACAUUUUUGUUUUUUUGUUUUUUUUCUUUGAAUAUUGGUUAUUCUUUUGAAACUGACAAAACACCUCCAGUUCUAUCCGGGGGUUGUGCACGCGAUAGAUGGAUGGAUGUGCGUGUAAGAGAGAGAGGUUUCCCUCUUGGUUGAGAUCUCAAUUAAUAUUGAUCACUUGGUAGUACUGUAUGUAUAAAAUCUCGGCCAAUAUAAACUGGUAUAUCAUGUGAUGUCAACAGAAACAAUAUGAAUAUAUCAACUGAGCUUUUCAA